rnacentral:rRNA from 1 species
GGUAAUGCCGGAUGCUCCAGUUGAUCGCAUGGUCUUCUGGGAAAGCUUUCGCGGUAUGGGAUGGGGUCGCGUCCUAUCAGCUUGACGGCGGGGUAACGGCCCACCGUGGCUUCGACGGGUAGCCGGCCUGAGAGGGCGACCGGCCACAUUGGGACUGAGAUACGGCCCAGACUCCUACGGGAGGCAGCAGUGGGGAAUAUUGCACAAUGGGCGCAAGCCUGAUGCAGCGACGCCGCGUGAGGGAUGGAGGCCUUCGGGUUGUAAACCUCUUUUAUCGGGGAGCAAGCGAGAGUGAGUUUACCCGUUGAAUAAGCACCGGCUAACUACGUGCCAGCAGCCGCGGUAAUACGUAGGGUGCAAGCGUUAUCCGGAAUUAUUGGGCGUAAAGGGCUCGUAGGCGGUUCGUCGCGUCCGGUGUGAAAGUCCAUCGCUUAACGGUGGAUCCGCGCCGGGUACGGGCGGGCUUGAGUGCGGUAGGGGAGACUGGAAUUCCCGGUGUAACGGUGGAAUGUGUAGAUAUCGGGAAGAACACC